UACGGAGGGUGCGAGCGUUGUCCGGAAUCACUGGGCGUAAAGGGCGCGUAGGUGGCCUGUGGAAGUCUGCGGUGAAAGCCCGGCGCUCAACGCCGGGUCGGCCGUGGAUACUCUCGGGCUCGAGCUUACUAGAGGCAGAUGGAAUUCCGGGUGUAGCGGUGGAAUGCGUAGAUAUCGGAAGGAACAUCAGUGGCGAAAGCGGCUUCCUGGACCAGCACCGACGUCAGGCACGAAAGCGUGGGGAGCAAACAGG
rnacentral:rRNA from 1 species